rnacentral:rRNA from 1 species
AAGUCGUAACAAGGUUUCCUUCUGUUGAAGACUUACCGAAGCCUAACGCAGCGACUUGAAAAAAUUGCGGAGUCUCCUUCGUGGGAUGAUACCGCCGAAAUGCUGGGAUUGGAGUUUCAGCUUCUAACCAGCAGCCACACCGUGGCUCACAGAUCAGCGAGCGGUGGUUCUUUAACCGGAACUAUGAUAUGACCGGUCUCAUCCCUCUGGGUUGAGAGGAUACGUUCCGUAGGUGAACCUGCGGAAGGAUCAUUA